rnacentral:rRNA from 1 species
CCUACGGGAGGCAGCAGUGAGGAAUAUUUGUCAAUGGACGAGAGUCUGAACCAGCCAAGUAGCGUGAAGGAUGACUGCCCUAUGGGUUGUAAACUUCUUUUAUAAAGGAAUAAAACGAGGCACGUGUGCCUUUUUGCAUGUACUUUAUGAAUAAGGAUCGGCUAACUCCGUGCCAGCAGCCGCGGUAAUACGGAGGAUCCGAGCGUUAUCCGGAUUUAUUGGGUUUAAAGGGUGCGUAGGUGGGUUGUUAAGUCAGUUGUGAAAGUUUGCGGCUCAACCGUAAAAUUGCAAUUGAUACUGGCAGUCUUGAGGACAGUUGAGGUAGGCGGAAUUCGUGGUGUAGCGGUGAAAUGCUUAGAUAUCACGAAGAACCCCGAUUGCGAAGGCAGCUUACUAAACUGUGACUGACAUUGAUGCUCGAAAGUGUGGGGAUCAAACAGGAUUAGAUACCCCAGUAGUC